rnacentral:rRNA from 1 species
CCUACGGGAGGCAGCAGUGGGGGAUAUUGCACAAUGGGGGAAACCCUGAUGCAGCGACGCCGCGUGGGUGAAGAAGUAUUUCGGUAUGUAAAGCCCUAUCAGCAGGGAAGAAGAAAUGACGGUACCAAAGGAAUAAGCCCCGGCUAACUACGGGCCAGAAAACGCGGUAAUACGUAGGGGGCAAGCGUUGUUCGGGAUGAGUGGGGGUAAAGGGUGUGUAGGGGGUUUGAUAAGUUAGAUGGGUAAUACCCAGGGCUUAACUCGGGUGCUGCAUCUGAAACUGUUAGACUGGAGUACUGGAGAGGGUAGUGGAAUUCCUAGUGUAGCGGUGAAAUGCGUAGAUAUUAGGAGGAACAUCAGUGGCGAAGGCGACUAUCUGGACAGCAACUGACGCUGAGGCACGAAAGCGUGGGGAGCAAACAGGAUUAGAUACCCUUGUAGUC